rnacentral:lncRNA from 1 species
UACGGCCGUGUGACCCGGUUGCUCUGGACACUGGUGAUUCUGGUGUUUACGCGCCGUAAGCCAGCUAGUACCGGACGCAGCGGCCGAAGUCGCCUGGAGCCCGAGCGGCCUCCGAAGCCGUAAGACCGGAUAGGAGCCGUGCGUAAGUUACGGGUUUCAGGAUCGCAACCAACCGCUUCCACGGCCGUUGGCAGCUGGUUGGCAGUGAGGUGAGAUUCAGUUUUCGGAAAAUGGCGUCACCAUCAGAUUAAAAUUGAGACGGCUCCGUGUAAAUUCGCAGAAAAUUAUAAUAUUUUACGUCAAUGUUAUUCAGUGCGUGAAUUUAAAGUUGCCGCCAGUCUGGAACAUAUUCGGGAGCGAUCGCAGCCACCACUCAGCGUUGUUUAUUGAGGUUAGAAUCUAGUAAAUUGAUUUGUCAUCAUUGGUCAUUGCUCAUUACGUGUGUUCGUUUUUCGUUUAAUUUGGAGGUUUUCGAUAUAUUUUCUUGAUUCUGUGUGGUGCACGAUUGAUUCUAAAGUUCUGUGUGAUAACGCUUGUCAAAAACUUUCGGAAAUGCGACGAGAGUUAAGUGAAAAUUGUCAGUUUUACCUACGCACUGAGCUCAUAUCCUAUCCUCCUUUUGCUGAAGGGAAGAUCUAUAAUUUUAACAAGUGUGACAAUUUUCGGUGGUAUAUUUCUUCGCUAAUAUUUUGUGGAAAUUGCAUCCGGUUGUUAUUGCGGAGAGUUAUAUCUUGAAGUUUUGUCAACUUUUACUACUGAAUUUACACCUUGAAAUAUUCUCAACCUCAUUUUCAAGAUUCUGAAGCUCUUCUAGUCAUAAGGAGUAAAACUCUGUAAGUACCUAGACCCACGCCAGUGGUUUUCCUUUGUUAAUCAUUUAGGUGAUUUCCUACUUUGCAUUCGUAUUUUUUAUCGAGGGAUGAACCAGGUUUUGUUUUUGUAAAAUGCUGAAUUCUCAUUGAGUGAAAGUAAUUACAUUUAUUGAGAACGGGCUGCCAAGUGAUAAAAAUGAUUUUUCAAUUUACAUUUUUCGCUGCAAUGAGUUUUAGCAAUUUAUCAUACCUUGGGCAGUCUGUUCUACAUUUAAAAUAGGUAGCAAGAAUUUUUGAUCUAUUU